GCUGAACUCCAGUGCACCCAGUUAGACUUGGAGCGGAAACUCAAGUUGAAUGAAAAUGCCAUCUCCAGGCUCCAGGCCAACCAAAAGUCUGUUCUGAUGUCGGUGUCAGAGGUCAAAGCAGUGGCUGAAAUGCAGUUUGGGGAACUCCUUGCUGCUGUGAGGAAGGCCCAGGCCAAUGUGAUGCUGUUCUUAGAGGAGAAGGAGCAAGCUGCGCUGAGCCAGGCCAACGGUAUCAAGGCCCACCUGGAGUACAGGAGUGCCGAGAUGGAGAAAAGCAAGCAGGAGCUGGAGAGGAUGGCGGCCAUCAGCAACACUGUCCAGUUCCUGGAGGAGUACUGCAAGUUUAAGAACACUGAAGACAUCACCUUCCCUAGUGUUUACAUAGGGCUGAAGGAUAAACUCUUGGGCAUCCGCAAAGUUAUCACGGAAUCCACUGUACACUUAAUCCAGUUGCUGGAGAACUAUAAGGAAAAGCUCCAGGAGUUUUCCAAGGAAGAGGAGUAUGACAUCAGAACUCAAGUGUCUGCCGUUGUUCAGCGCAAAUAUUGGACUUCCAGACCUGAGCCCAGCACCAGGGAACAGUUCCUCCAAUAUGCGCAUGACAUCACAUUCGACCCGGACACAGCACACAAGUAUCUCCGGCUGCAGGAGGAGAACCGCAAGGUCACCAACACCACGCCCUGGGAGCAUCCCUACCCGGACCUCCCCAGCAGGUUCCUGCACUGGCGGCAGGUGCUGUCCCAGCAGAGUCUGUACCUGCACAGGUACUAUUUUGAGGUGGAGAUCUUCGGGGCAGGCACCUAUGUUGGCCUGACCUGCAAAGGCAUCGACCGGAAAGGGGAGGAGCGCAACAGUUGCAUUUCCGGAAACAAUUUCUCCUGGAGCCUCCAAUGGAACGGGAAGGAGUUCACGGCCUGGCACAGUGACAUGGAGACCCCACUCAAAGCUGGCCCUUUCCGGAGGCUCGGGGUCUAUAUCGACUUCCCAGGAGGGAUCCUUUCCUUCUAUGGUGUAGAGUAUGACGCCAUGACUCUGGUUCACAAGUUUGCCUGCAAGUUUUCAGAACCAGUCUAUGCUGCCUUCUGGCUUUCCAAGAAGGAAAAUGCCAUCCGGAUUGUAGAUCUGGGAGAGGAACCCGAGAAGCCAGCACCGUGCUUGCUGGGGACUGCUCCCUAG
rnacentral:sRNA from 1 species